rnacentral:rRNA from 1 species
CCUACGGGAGGCAGCAGUGAGGAAUAUUGGUCAAUGGACGAGAGUCUGAACCAGCCAAGUAGCGUGAAGGAUGACUGCCCUAUGGGUUGUAAACUUCUUUUAUAUGGGAGUAAAAUGUUCCACGUGUGGGAUUUUGUAUGUACCAUAUGAAUAAGGAUCGGCUAACUCCAUGCCAGCAGCCGCGGUAAUACGGAGGAUCCGAGCGUUAUCCGGAUUUAUUGGGUUUAAAGGGAGCGUAGGUGGAUUGUUAAGUCAGUUGUGAAAGUUUGUGGCUCAACCGUAAAAUUGCAGUUGAAACUGGCAGGCUUGAGUACAGUAGAGGUGGGCGGAAUUCGUGGUGUAGCGGUGAAAUGCUUAGAUAUCACGAAGAACUCCGAUUGCGAAGGCAGCUCACUGGACUGCAACUGACACUGAGGCUCGAAAGUGUGGGUAUCAAACAGGAUUAGAUACCCCUGUAGUC